rnacentral:rRNA from 1 species
UACGAAGGGUGCGAGCGUUGUUCGGAAUUAUUGGGCGUAAAGGGUUCGUAGGCGGGAGAGCAAGUCAAGUGUGAAAUGUCCGGGCUUAACCUGGAGAGUGCAUUUGAAACUGUUUUUCUUGAGUGUUGGAGAGGGUAGUGGAAUUGCUGGUGUAGGAGUGACAUCCGUAGAGAUCAGCAGGAACAUCGGAGGCGAAGGCGACUACCUGGCCAAUAACUGACGCUGAGGAACGAAAGCAUGGGGAGCAAACAGG